rnacentral:rRNA from 1 species
AGAGUUUGAUCCUGGCUCAGGACGAACGCUGGCGGCGUGCUUAACACAUGCAAGUUGAACGGAGCACAUCAAGUAGCAAUACGAGGUGUGCUUAGUAGCGGACGGGUGAGUAACGCGUGAGUAACCUACCUUUGUGAGGGGGACAACAGCUGGAAACGGCUGCUAAUACCGCAUAAGGCCACGACUCCGAGUGGAGACGAGGUAAAAGAUUUAUCGCACAAAGAUGGACUCGCGUCCCAUUAGCUAGUUGGUGAGGUAACGGCCCACCAAGGCGACGAUGGGUAGCCGACCUGAGAGGGUGAUCGGCCACACUGGAACUGAGACACGGUCCAGACUCCUACGGGAGGCAGCAGUGGGGAAUAUUGGGCAAUGGGCGCAAGCCUGACCCAGCAACGCCGCGUGAGGGAAGAAGGUCUUCGGAUUGUAAACCUCUGUCCUAUGGGACGAAAAAAAUGACGGUACCAUAGGAGGAAGCUCCGGCUAACUACGUGCCAGCAGCCGCGGU